UACGUAGGGUGCAAGCGUUAAUCGGAAUUACUGGGCGUAAAGCGUGCGCAGGCGGUUCUAUAAGACAGCUGUGAAAUCCCCGGGCUCAACCUGGGAACUGCAUUUGUGACUGUAGAGCUGGAGUACGGCAGAGGGGGAUGGAAUUCCGCGUGUAGCAGUGAAAUGCGUAGAUAUGCGGAGGAACACCGAUGGCGAAGGCAAUCCCCUGGGCCUGUACUGACGCUCAUGCACGAAAGCGUGGGGAGCAAACAGG
rnacentral:rRNA from 1 species